GCUAUAUUGAUGGCGAGUGGCGAACGGGUGAGUAAUACAUCGGAACGUGCCCUGUAGUGGGGGAUAACUAGUCGAAAGAUUAGCUAAUACCGCAUACGACCUGAGGGUGAAAGUGGGGGACCGCAAGGCCUCAUGCUAUAGGAGCGGCCGAUGUCUGAUUAGCUAGUUGGUGAGGUAAAGGCUCACCAAGGCGACGAUCAGUAGCUGGUCUGAGAGGACGAUCAGCCACACUGGGACUGAGACACGGCCCAGACUCCUACGGGAGGCAGCAGUGGGGAAUUUUGGACAAUGGGCGAAAGCCUGAUCCAGCAAUGCCGCGUGUGUGAAGAAGGCCUUCGGGUUGUAAAGCACUUUUGUCCGGAAAGAAAUGGCUCUGGUUAAUACCUGGGGUCGAUGACGGUACCGGAAGAAUAAGGACCGGCUAACUACGUGCCAGCAGCCGCGGUAAUACGUAGGGUCCAAGCGUUAAUCGGAAUUACUGGGCGUAAAGCGUGCGCAGGCGGUUGUGCAAGACCGAUGUGAAAUCCCCGAGCUUAACUUGGGAAUUGCAUUGGUGACUGCACGGCUAGAGUGUGUCAGAGGGGGGUAGAAUUCACGUGUAGCAGUGAAAUGCGUAGAGAUGUGGAGGAAUACCGAUGGCGAAGGCAGCCCCCUGGGAUACACUGACGCUCAUGCACGAAAGCGUG
rnacentral:rRNA from 1 species